rnacentral:rRNA from 1 species
UACGGGAGGCAGCAGUGGGGAACUAUUGCACAAUGGGCGCAAGCCUGAUGCAGCCAUGCCGCGUGUAUGAAGAAGGCCUUCGGGUCGUAAAGUACUUUCAGCAGUGAGGAAGGUGGGUAUGUUAAUAGCAUACUCAUUUGACGUUAGCUGCAGAAGAAGCACCGGCUAACUCCGUGCCAGCAGCCGCGGUAAUACGGAGGGUGCGAGCGUUAAUCGGAAUUACUGGGCGUAAAGCGCAUGCAGGUGGUUUGUUAAGUCAGAUGUGAAAGCCCGGGGCUCAACCUCGGAAUUGCAUUUGAAACUGGCAAACUAGAGUACUGUAGAGGGGGGUAGAAUUUCAGGUGUAGCGGUGAAAUGCGUAGAGAUCUGAAGGAAUACCGGUGGCGAAGGCGGCCCCCUGGACAGAUACUGACACUCAGAUGCGAAAGCGUGGGGAGCAAACAGGAUUAGAUACCCUGGUAG